GACGAACGCUGGCGGCGUGCCUAAUACAUGCAAGUAGAACGCUGAAGGAGGAGCUUGCUUCUCUGGAUGAGUUGCGAACGGGUGAGUAACGCGUAGGUAACCUGCCCGGUAGCGGGGGAUAACUAUUGGAAACGAUAGCUAAUACCGCAUAAGAGUAGAUGUCGCAUGACAUUUGCUUAAAAGGUGCAAUUGCAUCACUACCAGAUGGACCUGCGUUGUAUUAGCUAGGUGGUGUGGUAAAGGCUCACCAAGGCAACGAUACAGAGCCGACCGGGGAGGGGGGUCGGCCACACUGGGAGUGGGACCCGGCCCAGACGCCUACAGGGGGGAGCAGUAGGGAAACUUGGGCAAUGGGCGGAAGUCUGACCGAACAAGGCCGGGUGAGUGAAGAAGGGUGUCGGGUCGUGAAGCUCUGUUGUAGGGGAAGAACGAGUGUGAGAGUGGAAAGUUCACGCUGUGACGGUAACUUACCAGAAAGGAACGGCUAACUACGUG
rnacentral:rRNA from 1 species